GGGGGUGUCCCGGUUUCGACAGGUAAGAGUGUACUUGUGCUGCAGGUGAGGCUCUCAUCUGGUCUCUGAUACAGGUGAAAAAUAUAACUGCCAAACGUAGAGAAGACGAAUUGUCUGAAAACGAACAGUUAGCUCUUGCUGCUUAAUCGCGCUUGAGCCGGAACUCGUGGGGUGCUGUUCCUAACGCCGCGAACUUCCGUCACAAACAGGGACUUGCCGUAUCUACUGUCUGAAGUAGCUGCGGGACAUCCGAAAGGAAAUCAGAAUAAGGAGGCGACGCCUUUGAAGCCGCUACCGUCUCCCGACAACCACCUCGCUUCAAUAAACCUGUAGAGGCGCCUGAACAGCUUAUUUGGACAGGGGUUCAAUUCCCCUCACCUCCAAUA
rnacentral:tmRNA from 1 species